rnacentral:rRNA from 1 species
UACGUAGGGUGCAAGCGUUAAUCGGAAUUACUGGGCGUAAAGCGUGCGCAGGCGGUUAUGUAAGACAGAUGUGAAAUCCCCGGGCUCAACCUGGGAACUGCAUUUGUGACUGCACGGCUGGAGUGCGGCAGAGGGGGAUGGAAUUCCGCGUGUAGCAGUGAAAUGCGUAGAUAUGCGGAGGAACACCGAUGGCGAAGGCAAUCCCCUGGGCCUGCACUGACGCUCAUGCACGAAAGCGUGGGGAGCAAACAGG